rnacentral:rRNA from 1 species
AGAACGAACGCUGGCGGCGUGGAUAAGACAUGCAAGUCGAACGCGACUUAUCAGAUUAGCAAUAAUUUGGUAAGUUGAGUGGCGAAAGGGUGCGUAACACGUGGGAAUUUACCAAGAAGUGGGGAAUAGCUCGACGAAAGUCGAAUUAAUACCGCAUAUGAUCGCAAGAUCAAAGCCGGGGACCGCAAGGCCUGGCGCUUUUUGAGAAGCCCGCGGCCCAUCAGCUAGUUGGCGGGGUAACGGCCCACCAAGGCUAUGACGGGUAGCUGGUCUGAGAGGACGACCAGCCACACUGGAACUGAGACACGGUCCAGACACCUACGGGUGGCAGCAGUCGAGAAUUUUUCACAAUGGACGAAAGUCUGAUGGAGCGACGCCGCGUGGAGGAUGAAGGUUUUCGGAUUGUAAACUCCUGUCACUGCAGAACAAGGAUGCGUUUAUGAAUAGUAGAUGCAUUUGAUGGUAUGCGGAGAGGAAGGGACGGCUAACGU